rnacentral:rRNA from 1 species
UACGAAGGGGGCUAGCGUUGCUCGGAAUCACUGGGCGUAAAGGGUGCGUAGGCGGGUCUUUAAGGUCAGGGGUGAAAUCCUGGAGCUCAACUCCAGAACUGCCUUUGAUACUGAGGAUCUUGAGUUCGGGAGAGGUGAGUGGAACUGCGAGUGUAGAGGUGAAAUUCGUAGAUAUUCGCAAGAACACCAGUGGCGAAGGCGGCUCACUGGCCCGAUACUGACGCUGAGGCACGAAAGCGUGGGGAGCAAACAGG